rnacentral:rRNA from 1 species
AUUGAACGCUGGCGGCAGGCCUAACACAUGCAAGUCGAACGAGUGGCGGACGGGUGAGUAAUCUCUGGGAAACUGCCUGAUGGAGGGGGAUAACUACUGGAAACGGUAGCUAAUACCGCAUACCAUCGGAUGUGCCCAACUGGGAUUAGCUAGUUGUUGGGGUAAAGGCUCACCAAGGCGACGAUCCCUAGCUGGUCUGAGAGGAUGACCAGCCACACUGGAACUGAGACACGGGCCAGACUCCUAAGGGAGGCAGCAGUGGGGAAUAUUGCACAAGGGGCGCAAGCCUGAUGCAGCCAUGCCGCGUGUAUGAAGAAGGCCUUCGGGGUGUAAAGGACUUUCAGCGGGGAGGCGUUACCCGCAGAAGAAGCACCGGCUAACUCCGUGCCAGCAGCCGCGGUAAUAC